rnacentral:lncRNA from 1 species
AGGAGUGAAGACGGCUGCCAUGUUCCACCCACCAUCCACCACACACAGUGAGGCGUCACUCCAGGACCUUGCUUCAGACAGGCUCCAUCUCUCUCCGUUUAUGUCCUUUGAACACCUUGGAAAAAAAAACACUUCUUGCCUUCACAAUUGGGGGUUUAUUUUGCCAUAAUAUUACAAAUUUGUCCAUCUUGGGAGGUACUUUGUGUGCUUUGCCCUGAUUGCAGAAAAGAGAGAAAUUUCACAUGGAGAUAUAUUUGGUUUCUGCACAAUAGAUAAAACAGCCACCUCUUCCAGUCUUGAAAGAGUGGAACUACGUAGGGGUUGAAACUUGUCAUUCAGCCUACCCUCUGCUCUUGAAGUCCUGUGGGAGUGAUGAAGUGCAAGUUUGGAAGACUCCCAAUGUAAGAGAAUGAGCAAUUACCAGAUGAUUGAUUUCUUAAGAUCAGAGGUCUGUUUUACUCCUUUUGAUUUCACCAUUGCCAGGUAAAGUACCUGAAACACUGAGACUACAUGCACAUGCAUUAAAUAUAUAUGUACUUAUACAUUGUAGGAUAUAUAGCAUAUAUGUUUAUAUAUUAUGCCAUCAGCAAAUUAUCAGUAUAUAACAUAUUAAUAAAUUUACUUUAUCAAUUGAUUAGCCUAGGGGAAUGGGAUAUUAGGAGUUUUUAUCUGGUCAUGUCUCUUCAGAUGUAUUUAUUGGCCUAGACAUUGCCUAAUUUAUUUAUUUAUUGUUUUGUUUUUUCUCGGCUAUAACCCAUGGCUAAGGGUUAAAUCAGAGCUGCAGCUGCUGGCCAACACCACAGCCAUAGCAACACCAGAUCCAAGCCGUGUCUAUGACCUACACUGUGGCUCUUGGCAACACUGCAGAUCAGAUCCUCAAACCACUGAGUGGGACCAGGGAUUGAACCUGCAUCGUUAUGGAUACUAUUCAGGUUACCAAAGCCUUUCCUUACUCAGCCAGGUUCCCAGUGCCAACAAAUCUAACCAUGAACCAUUAGAUAAAUCUAAUGGUGAAGGACCAGUGCU